CCUUCCGUCCCCUCCCAGGCUGUGCACAGCAGGUGCAGACCCGAAAACCACCAACUUCAGCUCGAGGUGAAGGUCCUCCCAGCAAUCGAGCUGCGGUUUGUAGUUUGGAUCCCAGCGGCAGCAGGAGGCACUCACUCACUGUUGGAGGUGCUGCAGGAGCUACACCUUUGGAGGUGGAGAUAAGGACAGCCAGCUCUUGGCUUCAAACUAAUCCAUGCCCAAAACACCAGAUAAAGUGCCGCUUUCAUCGGAGCCUUUCUUCUCUCCAAAGCAGCUGAGAUCUGACUUAAAAAAAUCACGUCUCCAGCUGUGAUGAUUGAUGGGAGAGCCUCCAGAAAAAGGACUUCCCAGUGCAGCUGAUGAACUACAGGAAACUGCAGUUGAGAUGCCCGAACGUCCCCAUUCAUCUCCACGGGGAGCUGACGCCCACAAAGGCUUUAGAGACAUUAACUGCUUCACAGCAUGUUUGCACACGAGAAACUGAGCAAAGCAGCACUCUGAACUUGCAAGUGGCUUCCAGUGUAGGCCAGGCUUAGAAAAACACACAUGGCCUCCCCCCUCCUCAGCUUCUUCAUGGGAAAAAGGGUACAAAAUGGAUUAGUUGGGCUGAAACGCCAGCCAGGAGGGCUGAAAAAGUGCAUUGAGCAUCACAAGGAAUUGCCUUUUUAAAAGCUCCCCUCUGAGAUGUGUUUGCUCGCAUUCACUCAGGAUAAUAAACUUCAUUUGGAAACAGCUUCUCUCCUGAGGAUGUGAUGCAGUGCUCCCACCACAGCACAGCACGGGGACGGAUGGCCAUAACACCAGCUAAGGACCAGGCCCACAAACAGCCCACAGAGAAGAAAUUCGUACAUAAUUAGUUUUUUCUCUAAGCAACAGGAGAAGAGAACCACUGAGUACUUAGCUAUAAGAAAUUAAGUGUCCUCUGUGUCCUAUUUGAUAGGACAAGACCUAGCUGGCACCCUUAGCUGCAAAGGAGAGUAUUAAAAAAAUAACCUAUUUAUGUAUCCAUCCUGCAAGAGAAAAGAGAGGUUGGAAGUGCAGGUUAGAAAAUACUCCCCAUUGAUCUCUGGAGAUGCUUGGGGCUGUUUUUUUGGCCCUUGUGCUUUGUUGUUGUGCAGCAAACCCUUCAAAAGCUCGUGCCUGAUCCGGCGCUGUGCCUCACUGCAGGAGGGGGACUAGCAACCUCUUGAACCAUCUCGCUCAAGCACAUGGCUAUGAUCUCAUGCUAAACUAAAAGGAGGCUAAUCUUAGCAUAAAUUUGCACUUAUCCCAUCUUUCAUAAGCAUAAAAUGAAGGUGGAACACAGAGCACUUGCAGGGAAAGCAGUGUAGCAGGGAAGAUUAAAUGUAGGAACUGACAGCAGACUUGGCAGCAUCCGCUCUGGCACCCUGCUCCCAGGGAAGGCUGGGCCCAGGAGCUGCAGGUGAAGAGGCACCCUCAGCCAGGCUGGGGGGCUGGGCAGCAGUGGGGGAGCCCCUCCUGACCCCCUGCAAAGACUAAGCCUGCUCUCCUGGCUGCCAGGAAAUCCUUGGCUGGAUAACAUCAAAAGGAACAUUUUAGGAGGCUGUGAGUGCAUCUCAAAUGCUCUCAUAACCAUUUUAAGCGUUCUGUCUGCUUGUGUCACAACCAGGUAACUUUUAUGUAAUUAUUCUCCCCUCCUGAAUAAUUAAGAGAUAGAGAUCUCUUUCUCUCCAUAUCCAUAUAUAUAUAUUCACACACAGGAUCUGUGUACUACAAACGCUCUCCUACGUUGGUGCACACCUACAUCCUGAUCCUCCCAGUUCUCACCAAAUUUGGAAUGUUUUUAGAUUCAGUUCUGAUACAAGCAGAUGGGCCUCAUGACUGUUAAUUCAGAUAUUCUGCAGUCAGAUGCAAAUAUCUCACAUUCACAGAAUAAUUCAGGUAGUUUAUUUCCUACAGACAACAUACAUCAUUCAGGGAAGGAAACCAGAUUAAAACACACACACACACCCUGGUGCAUUGCAGGCUACUUAUUACUGCAAUAAUCACUCCUACUUGUCAAUACAAUGAUUGCUGUUGUGUGUAGUUAAUCACUGAAAUAAAUUCUAAUUCAGUAAUCUCAGUGCAUACAUUAAAACCCAAAAAGCACUUGAAGUAUUUGCCAGUUUAUUUGUAUUAGUUAAAAAAUUGGCACCAAUGCUAUCUUCAUGUUACAAAAUGAUUUUUGGCCUGCUGACAAAACCUGCUACAAAUCACUUGAUCACUAUUCACAUUGUCUCUAUUGAUCAAAAAGGUACCGUGUGAAACAAGGCCUGUUAAUGGUGUAACUGCACUUAUGGUUGAGCAGGAAAUGGUUCAAAGGACACAUUUGGUAGAAGCCACAGAUGUGGGCCAGAGACCCAGUCCCUCCAGAUCUGCUGUGCAGAGCUUUCAUUCCACUGACAGAAGAACACAGCAGUCGCAGCUGGGCCUGGCCUACCUGAUGUGGCCUGCAGGAGAAACUCGCAGCAGAAGGCAGGGGAAGCACUUGUGGAGAGCACUGGGAAGUGAA